AGUUAAUUACAAUGAUGUAAUGUGUUUUGAAAUCACAUUUUAGAGGUUUAACUCCUCUAUUAACUU
rnacentral:tRNA from 1 species